GACGAACGCUGGCGGCGUGCUUAACACAUGCAAGUCGGACGAAGUGGCGAACGGGUGAGUAACGCGUAAUAAACCUGCCCUUCAGAGGGGAACAACAGUUGGAAAGGAAUGCUAAUACCGCAUACUGAAGGAGGGGAUUGCGUCGGAUUAGCUAGUUGGAGGGGUAACGGCCCACCAAGGCGAUGAUCAGUAGCCGGUCUGGGAGGGUGAACGGCCACAGUGGGACUGAGACACGGCCCAGACUCCUACGGGAGGCAGCAGGUGGGAAUCUUCCGCAAUGGACGAAAGUCUGACGAAGCAACGCCGCGUGAGUGAUGACGGCCUUCGGGUUGUAAAGCUCUGUUAAUCGGGACGCGGUACCGGAAUAGAAAGCCACGGCUAACUACGUGCCAGCCGCCGCGGUAAUUC
rnacentral:rRNA from 1 species